GACGAACGCUGGCGGCGUGCUUAACACAUGCAAGUCGAACGGAAAGGCCCUGCUUUUGUUGGGUUCUCGAUUGGCGAACGGGUGUGUAACACGUGAGUAACCUGCCCUUUUCUUUGGGAUAACUUCUGGUAACUGGUGCUAAUACCGGAUAUGAGCUCCUGCUUCAUGGUGGGGGUUGGAAAGUUUCGGCGGUUGUGGAUGGACUCGCGGGUUAUCAGCUUGUUGGUGGGGUAGUGGCUUACCAAGGCUUUGACGGGUAGCCGGCCUGAGAGGGUGACCGGGGACAUUGGGAGUGAGAUAAGGCACAGAGGGGUACGGGAGGCAGGAGUGGGGAAGAGUGCAAAAUGGGCGGAAGGAUGAUGAAGAAAAGGAGGGAGGGGGAAGAAGGGCGACGGGUUGUAAAAAGAAUUAGAAUGAGAAGAAGAGUGAGUGACGGUAAUGGGUAAAGAAGCAACGGCUAAAUACGUG
rnacentral:rRNA from 1 species